UACGGAGGAUGCAAGCGUUAUCCGGAAUGAUUGGGCGCAAGGCGUCCGCAGGUGGCAAUGUAAGUCUGCUGUUAAAGAGUCUAGCUCAACUAGAUAAAAGCAGUGGAAACUACAUAGCUAGAGUACGUUCGGGGCAGAGGGAAUUCCUGGUGUAGCGGUGAAAUGCGUAGAGAUCAGGAAGAACACCGGUGGCGAAAGCGCUUUGCUAGGCCGCAACUGACACUGAGGGACGAAAGCUAGGGGAGCGAAUGGG
rnacentral:rRNA from 1 species